rnacentral:rRNA from 1 species
UCCAGACUCCUACGGGAGGCAGCAGUCGGGAAUAUUGCGCAAUGGAGGAAACUCUGACGCAGUGACGCCGCGUAUAGGAAGAAGGUUUUCGGAUUGUAAACUAUUGUCGUGAGGGAAGAAAUUGACAGUACCUCAGGAGGAAGCUCCGGCUAACUAUGUGCCAGCAGCCGCGGUAAUACAUAGGGAGCAAGCGUUAUCCGGAUUUAUUGGGUGUAAAGGGUGCGUAGACGGGAAAUUAAGUUAGUUGUGAAAUCCCUCGGCUUAACUGAGGAACUGCAACUAAAACUGAUUUUCUUGAGUGCUGGAGAGGAAAGUGGAAUUCCUAGUGUAGCGGUGAAAUGCGUAGAUAUUAGGAGGAACACCAGUGGCGAAGGCGGCCUGCUGGACGAUGACUGACGUUGAGGCUCGAAAGCGUGGGGAGCAAACAGGAUUAGAUACCCUGGUAC